UACGUAGGGAGCAAGCGUUGUUCGGAAUUACUGGGCGUAAAGGGCCAGUAGGCGGCCAACUAAGUCGGAUGUGAAAUCCCCAGGCUUAACCUGGGAACUGCAUCUGAUACUGGAUGGCUUGAGUUCGGGAGAGGGAUGCGGAAUUCCAGGUGUAGCGGUGAAAUGCGUAGAUAUCUGGAGGAACACCGGUGGCGAAGGCGGCAUCCUGGACCGACACUGACGCUGAGGCGCGAAAGCUAGGGGAGCGAACGGG
rnacentral:rRNA from 1 species